rnacentral:rRNA from 1 species
GACGAACGCUGGCGGCGUGCUUAACACAUGCAAGUCGAACGGAAAGGCCCUGCUUUUGUGGGGUGCUCGAGUGGCGAACGGGUGAGUAACACGUGAGUAACCUGCCCUUGACUUUGGGAUAACUUCAGGAAACUGGGGCUAAUACCGGAUAGGAGCUCCUGCUGCAUGGUGGGGGUUGGAAAGUUUCGGCGGUUGGGGAUGGACUCGCGGCUUAUCAGCUUGUUGGUGGGGUAGUGGAUUACCAAGGCUUUGACGGGUAGCCGGCCUGAGAGGGUGACCGGCCACAUUGGGACUGAGAUACGGCCCAGACUCCUACGGGAGGCAGCAGUGGGGAAUAUGGCACAAUGGGCGGAAGCCUGAUGCAGCAACGCCGCGUGCGGGGUGACGGCCUUCGGGUUGUAAACCGCUUUCGCCUGUGACGAAGCGUGAGUGACGGUAAUGGGUAAAGAAGCACCGGCUAACUACGUG